ACAUGCCUACAGUGUAGCGUUAAUGCACCAGAUCCCAUUAUAACUCUGUAUUCAAGAGUGCUCAGGCUAGAGUAGUACUAGGAUGGGUGACUGCCUAGGAAUUCCUAGUGAUUUGCAUGCC
rnacentral:rRNA from 1 species